rnacentral:misc_RNA from 1 species
AGACACUAAAAGUGAAGACGCUGAUUCACUAGCUAGACCACCCUCCAUUUUAGGCCAAAAACCGAAAGUCUUUCAUUUAUCUUCAAACUGGAAGAAAUCUCUCGAUAAAUACACUUCUUUCCGGCUACCUUGUGUCUGUAUGCCAGUCGGUUUGUUCUUUCUCCAAGGAUGAAGGAAAAUCGACUUCCCAGAUGGCUAGUCCGAGACCAGAAAUCAUUG